UGGGGAAUUUUGGACAAUGGGGGAAACCCUGAUCCAGCCAUCCCGCGUGUGCGAUGAAGGCCCUCGGGUUGUAAAGCACUUUUGGCAGGAAAGAAACGUCAUGGGUUAAUACCCCGUGAAACUGACGGUACCUGCAGAAUAAGCACCGGCUAACUACGUGCCAGCAGCCGCGGUAAUACGUAGGGUGCAAGCGUUAAUCGGAAUUACUGGGCGUAAAGCGUGCGCAGGCGGUUCGGAAAGAAAGAUGUGAAAUCCCAGAGCUCAACUUUGGAACUGCAUUUUUAACUACCGGGCUAGAGUGUGUGAGAGGGAGGUGGAAUUCCGCGUGUAGCAGUGAAAUGCGUAGAUAUGCGGAGGAACACCGAUGGCGAAGGCAGCCUCCGGGGAUAACACUGACGCUCAUGCACGAAAGCGUGGGGAGCAAACAGG
rnacentral:rRNA from 1 species